GACAGGUGCUGCAUGGCUGUCGUCAGCUCGUGUCGUGAGAUGUUCGGUUAAGUCCCGCAACGAGCGCAACCCCUAUCUUUAGUUGCCAUCAUUGAGUUGGGCACUCUAAAGAGACUGCCGGUGUCAAACCGGAGGAAGGUGGGGAUGACGUCAAGUCCUCAUGGCCUUUAUGACCAGGGCUACACACGUACUACAAUGGCCGGUACAAAGGGCAGCGACACAGCGAUGUGAAGCCAAUCCCGAAAAGCCGGUCUCAGUCCGGAUUGGAGUCUGCAACUCGACUCCAUGAAGUUGGAAUCGCUAGUAAUCGCGGAUCAGCACGCCGCGGUGAAUACGUUCCCGGGCCUU
rnacentral:rRNA from 1 species